rnacentral:rRNA from 1 species
CGGGAAUUUGGGCAAUGGGGGAAACCCUGACCCAGCAACGCCGCGUGAAGGAUGAAGUAUUUCGGUAUGUAAACUUCGAAAGAAUAGGAAGAAUUAAUGACGGUACUAUUUAUAAGGUCCGGCUAACUACGUGCCAGCAGCCGCGGUAAUACGUAGGGACCAAGCGUUGUUCGGAUUUACUGGGCGUAAAGGGCGCGUAGGCGGCGCGGUAAGUCACUUGUGAAAUCUCUGAGCUUAACUCAGAACGGCCAAGUGAUACUGCAGUGCUAGAGUGUGGAAGGGGCAAUCGGAAUUCUUGGUGUAGCGGUGAAAUGCGUAGAUAUCAAGAGGAACACCUGAGGUGAAGACGGGUUGCUGGGCCAACACUGACGCUGAUGCGCGAAAGCCAGGGGAGCAAACGGGAUUAGAUACCCCGGUAGUCCUGGUCCUAAACGAUGAAUACUUGGUGUCUGGAGUUUUAAUGCUCCGGGUGCCGUCGCUAACGUUUUUAGUAUUCCGCCUGGGGAGUACGCUCGCAAGAGUG